UUUGCCAACUCUGGGUUUCUAAGCCAUUUAUCUUUUUUCUCCCAUUGUCCUCUAAAACCUUUUUAAAGAGAAUUUGUUUGAUUUAAUAUGUGAAAGCUCAAGAGGCCUCCAGCACCCACAGUUUUCAUAGUGCAAUUACAUGGGGUGCAGAUUUUAACGAUGGGGGUGAAGAAAGGUAGUCGAACUUAUGGCUUCAUCUCCUCAAUAUUUUAGAAUUCAAGAAAACAACACUCAGGCAAUUAGGCUUCUCCCCACCCUCAUCCCCCAAGUGCAAGGUCAGUUUGACACUCCGAAUGGUUAAAUCAUCCUUGGCUGAGAGUCCGAACUUGGCAGAAGCUCCGUAAUGAGAAAGCCAGACGACUGGUAUCGUUUGUCACAUGAGUGCCCCGCACUUCAUCUAGCUCUGGUUUGUUGUUGCAAGGAACAGCCAUGACUUAAAAGCAGUCAUUAGGGAUGUUUAAGGUUUUAACUGCUUUGACACGAGAUGUGGUCUUCGCCUUCAAUGGCAACUUUCAGCGUUAAACUCUACACAUAAAUAAGCAGUGUCAGCCUCCUCUGGUCGGUUCACUUCUGCUGCUCUUUACCAAAAGAAUUCCGUCGGCUUCUUGCUCUGGUUGUGAAAAAUCACAGAGCUUUUUCUAACGCAUACGCUGGCUUUCAUUGACAAAUGCAGAAAACCAAGGAUUGAGGCUCACUCCACUCAAUCUCUUGAGUUUCCUCCCAUCACUUAAACGAAGCUGCAGAAAUAGUGCCGCUUUUCAAAGGACUGAGAUUAAUAUCAGAUCGCGAUCUCAAGACCCUCGAGCAAUUUGUCCGCUGGGUGAAUACACACUAAAAAUAAUAUUGUCAAAGCUCUCCUAACCAGUCUUUAUGAAACAAAUCAAUGGAUUAACCCGGGUCUACGUGACUCUGAAGCUUGAGCUUUCAUACACUGUCCUAUACUCAUUUGUAUAAACACUUGUCGGUUGGGGGUGGGGGUGGAGACGGGACAGGCAAACCAGAAUUUUUUUCUGAGUUGAUCAUUAUAUGAAAAUUGCCCAGUGAGUUCAAAGAAAAUAGCACCCUCAAUAAUUCCAAGUAGACCCAAUCUUAAUUAAAUUCAUUCUCUUAAUUCCUCUAAAUGUUCUCCGUAAGAAACAGAGAAAUAUAACAAACUAUACCACAUGAUAAACAAAUUUUGUACUGUAUUAAGAACGUUCCAUAAAUAGAAUAUGUCUUUGGUUUUUUCAUUUUCUUUCGAGUGCUAAACAGGGUAUCGAAAGACCAGGGAGUUUUGAUCUUAACUCUGCCACCGUUAGGGAGGGAAAAAACGUUUCCUCUGCCCUCUCCGAUUCUGUAGUUGGGGAAAGUGAAUUAAACUAACGCGAGAAAUUAACAGAAGUUAUAUGUUUCUUUAUCGAUGUCAAUAUUUUUACAUGCAUGGGGACUUCACGAAAAAGAAAUGAAACCCCACAGAAGUGGUUAAACUUGGACGCUAAUAUACGAUUUUAAUAAAGGGUAAUAAAUUGUGGAGAAAGGAUUAGACAAAGGGAAGGGAGCUUUGGGGACUCCAGGGGUAGUAAAUUGUGGAAAGGUAAAUAGAAGGGGAAACCUAUGGAAAAUAAGUUAUUUUAUUAAGGUCCAUUUGCUCAGCCUCAUCUCACUGUACUUUCCAUUCUCUUCAUGGCCAUAAAACUCCUCUGGAAAGAGGAUUUAUGGCUGUCCUCAUUUCUCAGAAGUCUCUGCUUUUAGUCAGAUAAAGGACGUUCCAAGAAGACUUCUUGAUACAUUAGUUGAUUCUCCAUUGACUUCAGCUCAAAAUAAUCCAUAUGCUGAGGUGACAGACAUAUUUGGGGGUGGCUUAUUCUGAUGCCCUUCCCUACUGAUUUCCUCAGAGAUAUGUUUUAGUCAGUUCAUUUAUCUGGGACUCAGUUUCUGCACCAGUGAAAUAAAGGAAUUGAAAUAGAUUUCUAAAUUGCAUUCAUUCUCCAGCAUUCUACGGUUCUUAUAUUUCUGCGUAUUCAUCGUAGAUUUCAUUUAUAAAAGCUGCAUAGUUAAGUGGUAAGCUCUGUAACACAGAGUCACUAUUAUCAGGGAAGACUAAGGCAAAUCUGACACCAAAGAGAGUGAAUUGCUAUUCUCUCUAAAUUAACUUGUCUUUUCGAGAAUGUAUUGAGCAAACGGUAUUGGUAGAGACGGUAAGAUGGAUAAGAAAAAUGCAGUUUGGCAGAUCAGACUACUUCACAUGCUUUUUCACUAAAGAGAUCUGGCAAGAGGAAAGAGGAUACUGCCUAAACACAAAUUUAAAUAUCGGAGGGUUUCUCAGGAUCUUGUAUAUCGAUUCUAGUCACCCUGAUAUGCUGCUUUUUCCCACGAUAUGCUGUCACUUCUGGGAAUGAUAGAAUGUCAUAUUUAUAAUCAGAUCCAAGAACUGCAUCCUAUGAUCAAUUCCUACCCAAUAUUUAGCUAGUUUGACCUCGAACUCCUUAAUAAACCCAAAUGGAUCGAAGAGAAGCCCUCAGAAAGAAUGUGUUGAUAGUGACUCUCCAGUCUCUUGUAAGCAAAAUUACGAACGACAAAACUGCCAGGCUUAGCUUCAGGAUCCAAAAAGCAGCGGAAGUGGGUACUUGGCGGGGCACUUCGCUUUCUCAACCAGGGGCAGUGAAUUCGUAAAAUGAGGACCGGUGUGAUUUUUUUCCCACCAAAAUAUCAACCAAAUCGAGGACGCUCCUUCAUGAGAGAACAAGAAAACAUUUCAGCCCACCAGAGAGCAAAAAGCAGCUAUAAAGCCCUGUUAUAUGGGCAGUUAGUUCCAGCUCUCUCUUGACUCCAUAGUGACAAAAUUGCAUCUGUCUGGUGUCGAAGAGACACUAGGGAGCUUAAGUAUCCCGCCCCCCUCUCCAGCGGUUGAAUAAGCAGGGCGUAUCCUCGAAUUACUACUCCCUGAGCUGUAACCAAGACCUGGUCAGAGGCCGUAGGUCCGUUCCGGGAGCCAGCAGGAAGCUUCUUCCCCCAGCUUGAGCCAGUUGGAUGGGGAUGUGGUUUGCUUCAGCUGGAAGUCAUUUGUACGUUCCCUCACGGUAGUCAGACUCAGUGGCUUCUGAGAGCUCUCCAAGGUGAGCCUGCUUACUGGGAUCUCGUGUAGGUGUUGAACCCCCACAGCUGAAGUGUUUAAGGGGGAGUAGCUGGAGUCGUUGGGUUUGCUUUGUUGGAGAAUGGGGUCAGAAGGUAAGGCCUGCCCACGGCACGGAAAAAUGAGGACUCGAGGUAUAGUCCUGCCGCCCACAAUUCCACCUGGAAGUCGGGGUGAGGAUGCCUGGGGGCUCCACCUCUUCAGAAUUUCCUUUGGGUUACCUAGUCAGACGGGUUUCAACACAUUUGCGUCUACACGGCGAAUAAAUUCGGAGGGGGAGAGGGAAUUGAAUUAGUCAGGCAACAGUUAUUCCCAGUACGAACAGUAACGUUGGAUCGUGAAACGGCUAGAAAUUAGCAGAUAAUUUAAACUGAGUUACUGUUUGACAAAACGUAUUUCUCAAAGGUGUUCUGUAAGGGGGUGGGGUGGGGCGCAUCUUCGUUUUGCUGAAUGUCUCUCUGGGAGGGGUGUCUUCCUGGAAUCCGUUUGAGCUGUCAGUAACUUUUUGCACUUUUUCAGAGGUUGGAAGAGGAAGAAACUGCUGACUGCUGAUGACCCGUCGCUGGAAAUCCUGCCUCUUGUAGUUCUCACAGCCUAGCGACGUGGGGACUCGCUCAGCCUCCAGGAAAGGGACCGUCAGAUUACACUGGGCCCAUCUGGAUGAUCCAGAAGCAUCCCUUUGUCUCAAGAUCCCAGAUCACACCUGCGAGGUCCCUUCGGCCAGAGCACCACAAAUUGGAGGAUCCAUUGAAGACACACCAAUGUUUUCUUCUCUAAAGAUCCCAAGAGGGAAAAAUUGCUGGAUAAUCAACAACUUCCCGUACUGCAACGCUCGAGGGUUAUUUCAGAAGACAAAGUGGCAGAUCGAUACUCACUGAGCGACCACUCUGUCAUCAGACCACAUUGACUCGGCACACAUUCACUGAGGUGAGCUAGCCCAGUGUCCCCAGUGCUGGCUAUAGAGUGAAAGAGCCGCCAGACAUCCGUGAGCUCACCGGCUGGAGGCUGCAGUCCUGACAACGCGUGGGGUUGUUUUAAUAACAGCUCGCUUCUCCAUCAUCGCCCUCCUUAACGUCCCUCACACUCAUCUUUGAAUCAUCCAGCUCAAGUCACCGUCUGAAUCCUGCUUGGUUUAACUUUGGAAAUACCCAUGCCAUGCUCCUGAGCAAAUGAACAGACCGACGGCUGUCGCAUUGUGACCUAACCCUCACUGGGACAAGCUCCCCUGUUUUCUCAGCCUUUAUACAAAGGUAAUGACAACUGCACCGUGCUCUCAGAAAGACUUCUGUUCCUGGUCCUGAUCGCUGCAGGGGACUUCAUCAAGUCAGGAUCUCUGCAAACUGCAGUGUCCUUGAAUAUAAAAUAAGAUCAUUGGAGCCGAUAGUCUUAAGAUCCUUUCUAACCUCCAACGACUGUGAUUAUUUAAUACUAAAGAAAUGUUCAUUACUCAGCCAGAAGGAAUCUCUGGCACCUCAAAGUAUAUUUUGAAGGAAGUGUAGUUUAGGAGUGAAAUUUGACCUUUGAAGUGCCCGAGGACAUGCUUUCAGAUGCAAAGACCCACUUCGACACAAGUGACAGAAAAUCGUGAGCUCUUGAAGGCUGCACCUAAAUAAAAAGGAAUCUACUUUUGCUGAGCAUCACGACCCAUUUUCCCAACCCGGAUACAAACAAGGAUUUAAAUCUAGGCAGAGACUUACUGGUCUUUUUUUUUUUUUUUUAAAUCUGAUCUUCCUGUCCUGGGAGAGUCCAAGGCAGCGAGUUAGAACAAAUGAACCCAAAUUCUGAGCAUGAAGAUGUGCCGCCUGGUCCCUGCUCUAAUGGUUAUGGCUGAUGAUGUUAGGAACCUCCCUGGCCCUUUUUUCUUAUCCAUAAAAUUAAGAGGUCAAAGCCAGAGAUUGCAAGAAUCCCACAGUUUUAUCAUGACAGACAUGGUUUUAGAAAUCGAUAACAUAAGCAUGGUUAUAUAACUCGGAAAAUAGCCUAAUUUUUCAGAAGUCCAGUACAAUAUCAACUGAGGCACAAUAAUAGAUACUCAGUUAUCCCCAAACCUGUCAUUUCUGAUUUUAGCCUAAAUUUCACAGUUUCCAGUACUCAAAGAAAGCCAUGAGGUACAGAUCAAUUCACGUGAUAAUUAAGCACCUAUGCAUGAGCGGAAUUUACUAGAAACUAUCGGAGACGUGUAACUAUAUCACGGAUCCUGUCCUCAGGAAACGAAACUUCUUCUGAUGUCUACCUUUCCUCAUUUUUCAUAAUUUUUACAAUGAGUUUAUAAUAAUUUCAUAAUUAGCGAGAAAUAAUAUUUUCAAAGAGGUUCAGGUCAGAGGCGAUGGCGACUUAAACUCUAGUGUCAGCAAUGGGAAUGGAAAGCAGGAACUCGGUGACAUAAAGUGGAAGCAUUGCUUUUGAAGUCCAAAGAUACUUCAGCGUCCUUCUCCAGUUGACCAAUAACAUCUGUCUGCUCUGGCAGCAAACAUUUCAAACUCUGUAUGUGAAGGGGCUACGUAGAGUGGUGUUUAAGAGCGUUUAUUGGCUCUGGAGUCAGAGAGCUGGGGUUUGAAUUCUGUUCUGCCACCGACUAGCUUGGCGACCUUGAGCGAGUCUCUUGCUCAAGCCUCAGUUUCCUCAUCCUUAAAAUGAGAUUAAUAAUACCAAGUUCAUAGUAUCAGUAAUUCCAAGACUGUUGAAAAAACUCAAUAGAGCACUACAUCGACCCUUCAGGGGACUGCUUUCACACACACGGCGAGGACUCCGUAAGGCCGACUGCUGUCUUUGUGGUUGUUACUUGUCUCGUUCACCCUUUAAGCAAAGAUCAAGAGGAAAUGGGAGCUAAUAAAUUGGGUUUCUUAGCCUCUGGAUCAUUGUAGAUGGACAGGAAGCACCAUUCAAAUGGAACAGUAAGAACCACUAACGGCCAGAGUUACAUUCAGAGACACAAUCAGUGGCUGAAACGCCAGCCCCAGCCCAGGUAUCCUGUUCUUGGUUGGUGUCAGGACUGGACAUCAGCUCUCUAACACCUCCUGGAACGUGGUGACCGUGCUGCUACCCACCUUGCCAACCCAUCCUCCUCCGUUACAGACUAAACGUGAUUUCUGACUGUGUGUGGAUGACACUGACCGGAGGCCCUUGGGCCCUGUUCUUCCUCAGCCUCAUCCCACAAAGUAUUCCAUGGACAGAUGGAUGGUCACCAUGAUAUGCUAGGGCCACAUCAUUGUCUUAGGGAAAUUCUACAAGAUGCCAAAAGGAAGCAUAAUUUCUUCCUCUUGGGACCGUCUUGCGUGACAAUGUGUGCUUUAGGAAUUAAAAUAGAAGCUUUGUUUAUUGCAAACUAAAAACUGGCCAAAAGGAAGUAGUUCCUUUGUACUGUGACUUUC